UACGGAGGGUGCAAGCGUUAUCCGGAUUCAUUGGGUUUAAAGGGUGCGUAGGCGGGCUGUUAAGUCCGUGGUGAAAUCUCCAAGCUUAACUUGGAAACUGCCGUGGAUACUAUCAAUCUUGAAUAUCGUGGAGGUAAGCGGAAUAUGUCAUGUAGCGGUGAAAUGCUUAGAUAUCAGGAGGAACACCGGUGGCGAAAGCGCACGACUGGACCUCAUCUGACGCUGAGGCGCGAAAGCCUGGGGAGCAAACGGG
rnacentral:rRNA from 1 species